AUCUUUCAGUAUCGCCUAAACUACAAGAUAAACUCUUUACCUUACACGACGACCUUCGCGCAAGCGGCAGGCUUUAAGGUGACAUGGGAAUUGCCGAUCACCGGUGAGCUUCGGAACGUCCGGUCUAUCCCAAAUGUCCAUAAAUGCGCUCGUAUACGAAAGAAUAUCUGCCAGGGCCUGCAAUACGCGAAGCAGAAGGAUGGUGUUAUAGGAAAGAUAUUGAAAUUACUCACGGAGUUGUAUAUUAAUAAUAGUACUUGGCACGAAGAUCCUGUUCUGUGAGCAUCAUACUAUGAAUUGUUCUUUGCAAUUAGUCGGAUUUAAUAGUUUUAUAGAGAGCUAGCACUAAAGUAUCUUUGUUAGAGAGCAAGUUAACGAGUAAUUACUUGUUUAUU